rnacentral:rRNA from 1 species
GACGAACGCUGGCGGCGUGCUUAACACAUGCAAGUCGAACGGAAAGGCGCUGCUUUUGUGGGGUGCUCGAGUGGCGAACGGGUGAGUAACACGUGAGUAACCUGCCCUUGACUUUGGGAUAACUUCAGGAAACUGAGGCUAAUACCGGAUAGGAGCUCCUGCUGCAUGGUGGGGGUUGGAAAGUUUCGGCGGUUGGGGAUGGACUCGCGGCUUAUCAGCUUGUUGGUGGGGUAGUGGCUUACCAAGGCUUUGACGGGUAGCCGGCCUGGGAGGGUGAACGGGGCCAAUGGGACUGCGGGAGGCAGCAGUGGGGAACGGGAGACAGUAGUCGGAAAUCUUGUACAACGGGCGGAAGUCUGAUGCAGCAACGUCGCGUGUGUGAUGUCGGUUUUCAGGGUGUAAAACGCUUUCGCCUGUGACGAAGCGUGAGUGACGGUACUGGAUAAAGAAGCACCGGCUAACUACGUG